UUACGGCCACAGCAUGUUGAAACAAUGGUUCCCGUCCGAUUACUGAAGUUAAGCAACAUCGAGCUUGGUCAGUAUAUAGAUGGGUGAUCGCUUGGGAAUACAAGAUGCUGUAAG